ensembl:lncRNA
CAAAGCUAAGAGGAGUGAUUACAAAUGUUCCUUUGGAAAUGUCCGUGGAGGAUGUGAAGAGUGAGAUAAAAAGUGGGAAUGUACUAGAGGUGAAAAGACUUCAAAAUAAUAAAAAUGGUGUUAAAUCAGAUAGUCUAUCUGUAAUGAUUAUUUUUGAAAAAUCUUUGCCUUGUGAAGUUCAAAUAGGGUGGAUCAAUUACAAAGUUAGGGAGUAUAUUCCCCAACCGUUAAGGUGCUUUAAGUGCCAGAGAAUGGGACAUACAGUACAACAAUGUAAAUGGAGACAAAGAUGUGCGAAGUGUGGAGGAGAACAUGAAUAUGGUAAAUGUAAUAAGGAUACCAAGCUACAAUGUUGCAACUGUGGAGGUGAGCAUAGUGCUGCAUAUGCUGGAUGUGUGGUCCAGAAACAAGCUAAAGAAGUACAGAGGUACAAGGUUGUGAAUAAGGUGUCAUAUGCAGAGGCUAUUAAAAGUAUGGGCAAAUAUGAAACCAAGGAAAAUAAACCAACAAAAUGUCAUGAAAAUCUGAAUGAAAGUGCAAUGCAUGGAGCAGGCCUACCCCAGAGGUUAGGCAAAAGGAGAUGUCAGCCAGGACCAGUAGACACUACACCAGCAACCACACAGCAACCAUGUAAGCAUAAGUGUAUAGUGGAGGAGAACACAUUGAUGGUGGAAAAAAAGAGCUUUAUAGCUUUUAUAUGUAAAGUGGUGAAUGUUGCCACACGACAAGAAAGGAAAAGUGACAGGAUCAAGACAGUGGUAGAAGCUGCAGAGGAGUUCUUAGGUAUUAAAGAUUUAAAAGCUGAAGAAAUACAUGGCAUGCUAAGUACUAAUAAUGAUGGAGGGUCUCAGAGUAUUAUAUAAGUUUAUAAUGGUAUUCCACCUUUUGCAAUGGAAUGCUAGGAGUCUGAUUGCAAACGGACAAGAAUUUAAAAAAUUUGUAGUAGAGUCUGAAGUCAAAUUUGAUAUUGUUUGUAUUCAAGAAACUUGGCUACGACCUCACCUUGAUUUUAUUUUACCUGGUUAUGAGUCUGUUAGGUUUGAUAGAGAUGGAAAUCAGGGUGGAGGAUGUGCAACAUUUGUAAGGGAUGGGAUACCAUUUAGAAGAAUAGAAACUACAACAGAAAUAGAAUGUGUAAUUACUGAAAUUUAUAAAACAGAUGGACACUUAGUAGUAAUCAACUUAUAUAACCCUU